UACGGUAGGGGGCAAGCGUUGUCCGGAAUUACUGGGCGUAAAGCGCGCGUAGGCGGACCUGCAAGUCGGGGGUGAAAGCCCGAGGCUCAACCUCGGAACUGCCUUCGAUACUGCGGGUCUCGAGUCCGGGAGAGGUGAGUGGGAAUUCCUAAGUGUAGAGGUGAAAUUCGUAGAUAUUAGGAAGAACACCAGUGGCGAAGGCGGCUCACUGGCCCGGUACUGACGCUGAGGCGCGAAAAGCGUGGGGAGCAAACAGGG
rnacentral:rRNA from 1 species